GAUGCACAGCUGGCGGACAGACCAUAAUCGCCCAACCUGCUGGAAUGGUAUAUCCUGCAUCAAUUCCAAAUUGAAUAGGCAUGUCAAAUGGGGUAGUGAGGCAGUAAGCAUGACUUUCUCCAAAGAGCAACCCUGAUAACAAUGGAGAUCAUCACAAUAAUAAUAGGUUCCAGGUUACUCGAGGAUGAGAGGAUUGAGGAGGAAGUUGUUCUCCUUGUCUGUGCCGUGCGCGUGUGGAAUGGAUUAAUAACUAUUAGCAGCAAUGACUUGGUCAAAUGAGCAGCCGUCUAAGACUAUUAUUGAGAUAAACCUUCAGAAGGAUGCAAAUUUGGGAUGAGAUCAGCAACCUUAAGAUUUGAUUCAGGAUUAUUUGGAAGGCAGUUGCAUCAGUAGCAGACUCCAGAAUGCAACUUUUUAGCUUUCAAGAUGAAGCAUGCAUUCUCAAGAAGGCAAAAUGGCCUCAAAUCUCUCUCUCCACACUACGAAAAUGUUACUAGGAAGGUGGUUCUUCCAUUGAUUGAAUUAGUGGUAUGAGUGUAACAGAGGGAUCAGCGUAAGAGGAUGCCCUUUCUUGUUUGCAGCUGUUCUUUGUUUUCCUUGCUUUUAUUGGAAGAGUUGUCUGAAUGUUUCCAGUCUAAUAGUAUUUUACCCCCUUUUAA